AACGUAACCAGAACCAAAAACUUCUCCUCUUUCUUCAACCCAGCACAAAAUCUUAGCAAUAUCCCACCAAAUCCGCCUACUGCUCACCUCUCACAUCCGCUUACAACCCUCUUCUCCUUUCUCACACUCCAUCUCUGAAGCUUGCAGGCUCCAGUGCGAUUUCAGCGGAUUUCAUGGAACCUUGGGAGUAGUUGGAGUUAUGGCAACUCCGGAUUCUGCCCAUAUCAGAGAACAGUCAGUUGCAAGAUUUAAUUGCUCGUGUCUAGCGUCCCCGUCUUUCUUCCUCUCUUUAAAUUUUGUGUCUUCGUGUUAUCAUGUAUAUACAUGUUUAUAUUCUUGACUAACAUUUUUAUGGAUUGUAUUUGUAGCACAUUUGUUUCUCGCCUGUGUAGGAACUUAUGGAAAAAUAGUUAAUAUGAUGGUAAAUUUAGUCACUA